UACGUAGGCAGCAAGCGUUGUUCGGAGUUACUGGGCGUAAAGGGUGUGUAGGCGGUCCUCUAAGUUUGGUGUGAAAUCUCCCGGCUCAACUGGGAGGGUGCGCCGAAAACUGGAGGGCUAGAGUACUGGAUGGGAGAGUGGAAUUCCUGGUGUAGCGGUGAAAUGCGUAGAUAUCAGGAGGAACACCUGUGGUGUAGACGGCUCUCUGGACAGUAACUGACGCUGAGACACGAAAGCGUGGGUAGCGAAUGGG
rnacentral:rRNA from 1 species